UAUCAUAUAGUUUAGAUAAAUUUAAAGUUUAUCUGAAUUAUUAUUUAAACACUUCUGUAUUUGAUGAAACUCUUUUAUCAGAAGGAUUCUUCUAAAAUAUCAAAGGCAAAAUAGCCCUCCACAAGUAUUACUCUUGCUUGCAUGACUGGAUUUAUCAAAACCAGAAGUCACCUAUCAUGCUAAAUUCCCAUAAAAAAUAGGCACAAGCUCAUAAAAGAGCAUAGCAAGGCUGUGAUAAUCAUACGUACUCGAAAUAAGCUCGAGUCAAAACCAUGAAAGCAAGCUAAGGGGUCAGGAGCAACUGGUAGAACGACCGUGGUAAAUGUGGAUGCUGCGCGAAUGCCAGCAGAUUAACCUAACAACAUGCAACAACC
rnacentral:lncRNA from 1 species